CUAGUAACGGCCGCCAGUGUGCUGGAAUUCGCCCUUCAGGCCUAACACAUGCAAGUCGAACGGAGAACUUUCUUCGGAAUGUUCUUAGUGGCGAACGGGUGAGUAACGCGUAGGCAACCUGCCCUCUGGUUGGGGACAACAUUCCGAAAGGGAUGCUAAUACCGAAUGUGAUCCCCUCUCCGCAUGGAGAGGGGAUGAAAGAUGGCCUCUACUUGUAAGCUAUCGCCAGAAGAUGGGCCUGCGUCUGAUUAGCUAGUAGGUGGGGUAACGGCCCACCUAGGCGAUGAUCAGUAGCCGGUCUGAGAGGAUGAACGGCCACAUUGGGACUGAGACACGGCCCAAACUCCUACGGGAGGCAGCAGUGGGGAAUCUUCCGCAAUGGACGAAAGUCUGACGGAGCAACGCCGCGUGAGUGAUGAAGGCCUUCGGGUUGUAAAACUCUGUUGUCAGGGACGAACGUGCCGAUCUACAAUACAUUUCGGCAGUGACGGUACCUGACGAGGAAGCCACGGCUAACUACGUGCCAGCAGCCGCGGUAAUACGUAGGUGGCAAGCGUUGUCCGGAAUUAUUGGGCGUAAAGAGCAUGUAGGCGGGCUUUUAAGUCCGACGUGAAAAUGCGGGGCUUAACCCCGUAUGGCGUUGGAUACUGGAAGUCUUGAGUGCAGGAGAGGAAAGGGGAAUUCCCAGUGUAGCGGUGAAAUGCGUAGAUAUUGGGAGGAACACCAGUGGCGAAGGCGCCUUUCUGGACUGUGUCUGACGCUGAGAUGCGAAAGCCAGGGUAGCAAACGGGAUUAGAUACCCCGGUAGUCCUGGCCGUAAACGAUGGGUACUAGGUGUAGGAGGUAUCGACCCCUUCUGUGCCGGAGUUAACGCAAUAAGUACCCCGCCUGGGGACUACGAUCGCAAGAUUGAAACUCAAAGGAAUUGACGGGGGCCCGCACAAGCGGUGGAAGUAUGUGGGUUUAAUUCGACGCAACGCGAAGAACCUUACCAAGGCUUGACAUUGAGUGAAAGACCUAGAAAUAGGUCCCCUUCUUCGGAAGCACGAAAACAGGUGGUGCAUGGCUGUCGUCAGCUCGUGUCGUGAAGAUGUUGGGGUUAAGUCC
rnacentral:rRNA from 1 species